rnacentral:ncRNA from 20 species
UCAUAGCAACUGGGGUGCCAUCACGGCUGAGAUAAUACCCAUUGAACCUGAAUCUGGACAAUGCCAGCGCAGGGAGCAAUGCUUUUAUUUGGGG